rnacentral:rRNA from 1 species
CCCUCUCCUUGGCGUCGUGCUCAACACAUGCCAGCCGAACGGAAAGGCUACGCUGUUGUUGGGUGCUGGAGUGACGCACGGAUGAGUAACACGUGAGUUACCUACCCUAGACUUGGGGAUAACUACAGGUAACUUAGGCUUAUACAGGCUAGGAGCAUCUGCUGCAUCGUGGGGGUCGGAAUGGUUCGGCGGUCAGGAUUGGCAUCACGGCCUAAUAGCUUGUUAGUGGGGUGGUGGCUUCCCAGGGCUUUGAUGGCUAGCCGGCCUGAGAGGGUGACCUGCCACAUCGGGACUGAGAGACGUCCCAGACUCCUACGGGAGGCAGCAGUGGGGAAUAUUGCACAAUGGGCGGAAGCCUGAUGCAGCAACGCCGCGUGCGGGAUGACGGCCUUCUGUUUGUAAGCCGCAUUCGCCUGUGACGAAGCGGGAGUGACGGUAAUUGGUAAAGGAGCACCGGCUAACUACGUG